rnacentral:lncRNA from 10 species
GGUGGGGGAUCAGGGAUGGGGGGUCUCUCCGGAACCUGAUUUAGAAGCUUAGAAGCAUCCUGCUUACCCAGAGCAACUCCCCUCCCCUCCCAGCUGUGCCCCGCCCAGAUCCCCAGAGGAGCCUGGGCCUGCUGUCCUAGGGGAUAAGAAGGGCUCUGCGUGGAGGACGUUGGUCCUGCUGAGGCUUCCAGAGGACUCCCCCCGAAGGCUGCAGAAAGGUUCCAGGCCUCCAUGUUGAUGGCAGAAGUGGCGAGGCAGCUCACCCUCCGCCCUGCUGAUUUCUGUGCACAUUUGGGACGACGUUUUCAACAGCUCCAGCGCUGGAGCCAAGAGACAGUUGGCCUCAGGUUUCCACCUCAGGGCCCAAACUCACCUCUUCAGCCCCUGAGACUCGCCCAGAACCUCAUCAGGAGACCACCUAACGGAAGGAUGAGAAUAGUUGGAGGAUUUUCUCAAGUCUUUCUCUUGCCUCCUAGUUUAUUUCCUUGCAGAAUCCAGCCCUUCAGAUGCAGCUGAUUUCUUAGCCACCACACACAGCAACCUUUUCUGUCUUCACAGUUGUGUCUCUGAAGCAACUUCCAACUAAAUAAAAGCAGCUCCG